GGAUCAUCUGCUGUCAUCUCUGCUAAAUGGCUCUCUGCUCCUUCCUGUCAACUUUUGGUACUCUGCUGAACUGCAGCGUCCAUGAAGUCUUUUCAGAAUAGGAGGCUACGUCUCGGUUCUUUUAAAUCAUCACACCAGGAGCCCAGAAGAAGCAGGGAGACAGAUCUUAGGACUGGAAAGGACAGAAUGAAGAUCACUAGGAAAAUGGUUUAUUUCUCUUUUAACCAUUUGCUGCUACCCCAUUGCUCAGGAGUGAGGAUAACAAAAUUCAAGAGAUAUAUGAGACCUCAGAGGCCAUCUUUUACAACUUAUGCUUAAGAAAUUAUGCCUUUGAAGAUAGCUCCAACAUGGUAUCAUACAUCGUUUGCUUGAAGGCAUUGGGUAAGGGGGAACCUGUUACUUUUGGAGGGAACUCAUUCUGUUUUUGUAUAGUUCUAUUU
rnacentral:lncRNA from 1 species